rnacentral:rRNA from 1 species
AUAACAAUGAUUCCCUCAGUAACUGCGAGUGAAGAGGGAGAAGCUCAAAUUUUAAAUCUGUUAGGUUUACCUAACCGAGUUGUAAUUUGAAGAAGCGUUUUCUGCGUAGUUUGGUCAGCCUAAGUCCUAUUGAAUGAGGCAUCAUGGAGGGUGAUAAUCCCGUUCGGUUGAUCAUUGCGUUUUACGAUACGCUUUCAAAGAGUCAAGUUGUUUGGGAUUGCAGCUUAAAAUGGGAGGUAAAUUUCUCCUAAGGCUAAAUAACGGCGAGAGACCGAUAGCGAACAAGUACUGUGAGGGAAAGAUGAAAAGAACUUUGAAAAGAGAGUUAAAUAGUACGUGAAAUUGUUGAAAGGGAAACGAUUGAAGCCAGUCGUACUGGCGGGCAAUCAGCCUUUUGGGUAUGAUUAUGUGGAGCGUGAGGAGUUAUCACCCUCAUCUUUGCAUAUUUGUGCACUUUGGGUGUACUUGCUCGUGUGGUAGGUUAACAUUAAUUUUAGUCAUCAUAAAAUGGCUGGAGGAAUGUAGCUUCGAUCUUGUAUUGAAGUGUUAUAGCCUUUGGUAGACGUGAUGAUUGGGAUUGAGGAUUGCAACGGAUGCCCUUCGGGCUACCCGUCUGAUCUCUGGAAGUUGCUCUGGUGCUGAAAGCUUGCUUAUGGUAUCAAAGUUGACGUCUAAUAGGUUAGAAUGGGUUAAAUUCGUUAAGGAUGU